rnacentral:lncRNA from 10 species
CUUUGCAAGAUAGGUUUGCUACCUUUAAACUGAAGUGACAAUAACACCCUUCGGUUUCUCUCAAGUUGUGCUGAUAUCCUUGAUGUCUCUAACAAACCAGAGACUGCCUGUGAGAAUCCUGUAUGUCACCAUUAAAUUGAAAAAGGCUUGAAAUAUCAAAACCUCACUUCUGGUAGGGAAGGGAAACGAGAAAAAAGCAAACCGAUGGUUAUUCAUGAAUCACCCCGGGCCUGCCAUGAUAAAUAACAGUGGCCUCUUUCUUCUCUUCGCUGGGCUCGUAAUUCUCUCCCUGAAGGUGUUUUACCUGCACAGGAAGAAUUGGGCUGGAGGGAUGUCUAGUAAAAAUGAUUUUUAAAGCCUCUUAAAACGCAAAAGCCUAUGUUUGGGUUAUGAGUCAUUCUUUUUGCAUACAGCAAACAAUGUCCAAUUAAUCUCAGCCGACUGGGGAGAUGGGACUAAAACAAUUUGCAAUGUUUAGUCUGUGGUUUUGUGACAACCUAGUGAUGUUAAGAGAAAAUUAAAUACUCGAUAAAAUAGCUUAUUUGAAAAGAUUACAAGCGAAGGCGUCUAGAUUUGGGCUUCUCCUGCAACAUUAAACAUGAGGAUUCACUGUCCAAAUAUGGGUUCCGCAUAUAAGCAGAGAGCUGCUGUUUUCUCCUGCGCUGACAGGCAAUGCUAUGUGAUAUGUUGGCAAACAAUUUUACUGUUUUCCUCUCUCUUCUUAUGAACGAUAUUUAUAGACUCCGAAUUGCAUUUGGUUCCGCUUUCCGACACAGUUAUCUUCUUGGGCGUGGAUUAAAUGAAGAUCUGGGUGUUGAAAGACAUUUACAUAAGUGCUGUUUGUGAACAGGAAGGCCAGUUCUUCUAUUAUCGCCAGAACAUUUAAAUCUUAAUGACUGGCAUUGUUGUCUAAAAGACGGUGUUUUUCCUGCUGAGAAACUGCAUUAGAUUCAAGAAACGAAGCUCAUUUCCAUUCUCUCAGCAGUCUUCUCUAGAAAUGACAUGCAGUGCUUGAAACUGUUUAUUUCCAAAUUCAGGCCUCCCUCGCAUCAGUCAUCAGCUUCAAUUACCAGUUUUCCGGAGCCGAGCCAUCAGGCAGUCUGACACCGGGGUCCGGCCUAAUUCCCACCUUCUCCAGAGUCAAGAGCAUAAUGUGCGGAUGAAAAGGUGCAAAAUAGCUUGGACUUCAUUAGCAUGCAGGGCCUGGCUGUUCAUUUGCCGGCUGCGGAUGGAAGUUCUGACACUCGGAGCUUGCUGCAAAAUGAGAAAAGUCCUCUUCAGGGGAGAUGAGGUCCUUGGUGGUGAGGAAAGGUCAUCAAAAAGACAGCCGCUGCCCUUGCUCCCUGCUCUCCAUGACUGCUUAUUGAUUCCAGGAACACCUCAUUACACGCCGGAUCAACAUAUUAUUGCCAUGUUCUGGGACUGAAUUGUUUACAAGUGUCUUUAUCGCCAGCAAAGGCCUGCCCGGAGAUGCAUGACUACACUCAUUUGGCUGUGACCCGCCAAUUAUGUGUUAUCCGAUAUGUUGCUGGGUAUCUUGAUCUUUGCCCGGGUCUUCUCCUGGCAUCAACACAGUCCCAUUUACUACUUCUUUCUAACCACUCUUUGGGAAAGUAGCCAUUAGCCUGUCAGUGUGUAAAUGUGCGUGUGUGUGUGUGCGUGUGUGUGUGUGUGUGUGUGUGUUACCUCUGCUACAGGAAAUCUGAGCAUCGAUGCUCCAUUGCUUGCUAUUCAUGAGGUGCAUAAUCAUUUGGGGGAAAGAAAUUCUCACUCACACUCACACACACACACCUUUUUUUAUGGCAUCCAGGGUAACCCACACAAUUUGCAAUCAGUAUGCACAACAGAGAGCAUAAUGCAGCUUGUUAGCAGCUCCCUCUGCUUACAUAUAGGCCCGACGAGAGAGCCGUCAUAUUUUAUUUGGGCAUAGCUACUGCAAACCACUGCACAGGACCAUUUUAAUCUUUCAUUACAGACACUUCUAUGGCUCCAUAAAAGAAAGAGUGGACUAGCAACUUGAUUAAAAACUUAGUAAAGAGAUUGUGCAAACCCUCCCAUCCCUGAAAAGUGGAGCCACAGCCUUAGUUUCUUACUGACGCCACUCUGCAAUGCAAAUGUGACUUCCAUUUCCCUCCAAUGGUGACUACUGACAUAAAUUUAAUGAUGCUGAGAAUUGACAACUUCUAUUAAUUUUUGUGAAUAUUGCUUGGAGAAGGUUUAACGACUCCACCAAACAUUAGGACCGUCUCAACCAAAUACUAAAAAGGGGUCCAUUUCAUUUACAUUUCCUGUUGCCAUCAAGAAUGGCUCUUUAAUGAGUUUUCCGCAGCAGGAUGUAGAGACACAGAUGCCAAGAAACUUGCCUUUAUUUUCUUGGAAGCAUAUAUCCUUGGCAAUGGGCACAUAUUAAUAUGAUGAGUGAACUGAAACUCAAGAAUCUAACUGCCUUCAGAAAAGUGACAUCUGUAUGCACAUUCAUUUCCAGCAAUUUCCCAGAUUUCUUUGGUAUUUGUCUUUCUUUAAUUUUUUCCAGGUAUUUUUUUUCUCUUUCCAAUUUUGAGAGAGGAGUUUUGUAAAGAUACUGAGUUCUUUUGGUUCUUUCCAAAAUCCCUUAGUUUUGGCUUUCUGACAAAUCACUAUUAAUAACUGGAAAAGGCUGAUUAAGACCCCCUCGUCAGGGUGCUUCAACUCAAUUAAAGAGUCCAUCAGGAGAUGUUUACUCCACCCAGUGUUCAAGGACUCUGCUAAUUCUGUACUAUUCUGUACUAUUAUCAACCAAUAAAUACCCUUUGGAAGAGAAAGAGGUGAUUGGAAGGAUUACUCUUGGUUUAUUUCGGGGGGUACUAUUGCACGAGAAGCUUGAUCAAGGGAUAAAGAUGGAACAAAAAGGAGUGUUUACCAACAUUCGUAUCUGACGAUCAAGUCUCAGUGUGGUUGGAACUCAGAGAAGGACAAAAAGGGUAACUUUCAAUAACUAGGAGUCAUCCAAAAGGAAAGGGGCUUCUUUACAAAUUUACAAGAAAUUGUAAUGAUGCAGCAGUGGGAAUGCCCAGGCGGUAGGCACUUUGAGGUUGAAUGCCCUAGGUAGAAGGGAGAGCCACAUCCAGGAGCUUCUGCCAAUUGUUAUAACCAGAU